CCCCUUCGCCGCCCCUUGCAGUCGGGCGGUGGCGUCCUAAUCCCAUCUCUCCCGCUUCGCCUCAUCCCCUCCAGCCGCCUCCUCCCUUAUCGUAUUUCUACGGGCCUGCGGCUUUCGUUCCUUUCCGCAAGGCCGUCGAGGCGAAUGGCGCGGAGUGAGUGGUCGUGAAGCCGAAAGAGGAAGCGGGUGAUCUUUGGCCUUGGCAUCGGGCUGGGUGCUGGUGGAAUUGUUCUGGCUGGCGGAUGGAUGUUCACUGUGGGGGGAGGCUGCUGCAGCCUUCCUUGCGGCCUUGAGUUGGUUCGAAGUCGGGGGAUUGCCGCUGGGAUGACGCCGCCACCAAGAUAUGUAUCGAGAGUUUGCUCGCCUAUUUAUGCUCUCAUGCCCAUACUGACUCUGCAUUUGGCCAGAUACCGCUUACAGGUAUUAGUCCAAAGAAGAUCUUAUUGCUGGUUUAAUUAGCUGCACCACGACUUCUGUCAUAUGGUCACGGAUUUGAUGCCGGCCUACAACAUCAUUGAGGAGGCAUCCUUGACAGGUUGGACGGCCACGUGUUCACCAGCGCACUCUGUUACUCAUUCGCCGAUCGGACUUCUGCUUUUCGGAGUUUGAACGAUUGCUGAAUCUAUAGAUAAAAUGCAACUAAUCAUUCGCCAGAAGAUGUUCUAAGAAUGAAAAGGAAGCAAACACCAUGAGAUGUUACUGCUGAAGGCAAAUCUCUAACUCAAUUUGUGUAUUCUUUUGUUUUUAGGCAAAAGGAGAAGACAUUGCUACAAAGGCCAGUUCUCUAUUUUAACUCUUGUCAAACUUAGUGGCUUAUCACCUUUAAGAUACUCACCAUGUUCUUUUUAAUGUAUCUAAACGUGCCCGUGUUAAUUAUUUUUAUUAAUCUUGAAGUAAA